AAUCGUUUAAAACUAGAAUUAGUUGAUGAAGGAGCAUAAUGCAGAUCAUACGUUGUACGUGUGGCUUGAACAUUAUGAUUUCGCGCCAUUUCUUGUUUCUGCACUCGCUUUGAACUUUCAUGGCUUUAACAGCAGUUAUCGACUGACGACUUUGCUGUAUUACAUAGUGUACUUGGUACAUAAUUGAUCAACGAUAAUAGGAGGAACCCCUGCAAGCUUUAAAGGGCUCGUGUUACUUUAACAUCACUUUUGAAUUUCACGAAAGCAGAUAAAAGUUUUAGUGACGUUGCAGAAACUCCGGAAUACUGUGGAUUGGGAGGAGGAGAAAGUGAUAAUUCUGUUAUAUGGCCUGUUUCUAGGACACGAUAAACUUCCUAAUAAGAUCAGAUGGCUAAGUUACGGUGCAAAGACGGGUAGCUUGAGACUACCCGUUGUUACCUAUAAUCUAACUCACUCUUUCCACAUACGCGGCUAACCUGUUCCCGAUCAAUAUUCAGUUAACAACUCUACCUCGAUUCGAUGCAGUGCACAGUGGGAGAGGUUGAAGUUGACGUUCAAGCAGUCACCCUGCCGAACAAGAAAUCUUUCAGGCCAAGAGGCUAGGUGACUAGAAACUC